rnacentral:rRNA from 1 species
GCAAUCUGCCCUUCACUCUGGGACAAGCCCUGGAAACGGGGUCUAAUACCGGAUAACACUGCGGAUCGCAUGGUCUGCGGUUAAAAGCUCCGGCGGUGAAGGAUGAGCCCGCGGCCUAUCAGCUUGUUGGUGGGGUGAUGGCCUACCAAGGCGACGACGGGUAGCCGGCCUGAGAGGGCGACCGGCCACACUGGGACUGAGACACGGCCCAGACUCCUACGGGAGGCAGCAGUGGGGAAUAUUGCACAAUGGGCGAAAGCCUGAUGCAGCGACGCCGCGUGAGGGAUGACGGCCUUCGGGUUGUAAACCUCUUUCAGCAGGGAAGAAGCGAAAGUGACGGUACCUGCAGAAGAAGCGCCGGCUAACUACGUGCCAGCAGCCGCGGUAAUACGUAGGGCGCAAGCGUUGUCCGGAAUUAUUGGGCGUAAAGAGCUCGUAGGCGGCUUGUCACGUCGGAUGUGAAAGCCCGGGGCUUAACCCCGGGUCUGCAUUCGAUACGGGCAGGCUAGAGUGUGGUAGGGGGAGAUCGGAAUUCCUGGGUGUAGCGGUGAAAUGCGCAGAUAUCAGGAGGAACACCGGGUGGCGAAGGCGGAUCUCUG